UGGGCGGAGUAGAUCGAUCUGAAACCUAUCCUUUUUUAUUUCAGAACGACGAAUGAGAUUAAAAAACUAGUCGCUGCCCGACAGAUAGUGGCUCCCUAAGGUUCUUGAACCGCAGCAGUUUUUAGCGAUCCAGUCGAUGGUCACCUGAUAAAAAUGAGUAUUCCACAAAAAACGGAGGCGGACCGGAUUCAAACGACUAGCAGUUGGCGGAGGAGUGUUUCCGAAAAGUCUACGUGUGCAAUAAGAAACUCUCGGCAUGGAGAUUCUAGUGGAAGACACCAUGCACUCAUCCUUCACAAAAUGGCUUGGGUGCUAGAUGGUAAGACAUUUAUUUUCUUUAUUUGGUAUUUUUGGAGCUUCUUUCAAUGAUCUCUACUGAGAAACAGAUAUGAUUUAAUAGAAUAUUUGAGAAAGUUUCCUGAUUUCUGUAAGGCAAUCAUUAAUAAGAAAUUAAUCCUAUUGCAGUAUUCACUCAAUUGCACUUAUUCCGGUGUCUGGAGAGCUGCUGUCGGAGAUGUUGUUCGCGUUGGCAACCACCAUAGAGACCUGUGCCAUCAAUUAAAAACGGCUCUAAUGAAAGAACCAUUAUGGGCAACUUUAAAAAAGGGAAAAUUGAGCCGGACAAUGAAAUCGCAGUCGAGAAAAAAAUCUAUGCUGGUUAGCUGCAGUAAACUGCAAUACAACUUUGUCCCAUCGUAGAUAUACUUCAAAUGAAUAAUUAAGAUUUUUGUUCACGCCAGCAAAUGUUUCGUCUCCCGGAAGCGGAACGUCUUUGAUUGUCGAACAAAACCGCCGAGGAGCCGUAAGGCUGCGCUUUUCAAUAACAAGGAAAAGUACAUCGAGGAAUCCGUCCCUUGAAAACAAGUUGAUGAAUUCCAUCUCGUAUGUAACCAAAAGUAAACAAAAUGUAGA